ensembl:lncRNA
GUUUUAAAAUAUUUUUAUUUCUUAAAUAGUGAAAAUUCAUGUUUGCAACUACUUCAAAGCUCUUCACCCUCCUGUGAUUAUCACAGGUGUUAGACAGAUCACAUAAUAUCUUUCAACACUGACCUCGCCAUAGACGUUAGGUGCUGUAAUUUAUUCUCCCUUUAAAAAUUCAUCAUUUAGACUGCUGGAUCAAAUGGAUGGGAUCAAAUACUACAGCAAAGAUCACAAACCUACAUACAAGAGGAAUGAAGUGGUAAAUAAACACAAACAAGUCUAGACCAAGCCAUGUUGGCAAAGAGUCUAUGAGAAAAAUUUAACACCAACUCUUGGGAAAUGUAUUAGGAGAAAGCUGAGAGGGGCAUGAUACGACCUGCCCUCAGUUUCUCUAGGAACAGAGACGACUUUUACUACUACUAGUACUACAAAAAACUGGGUGACAGGCCACAUAGAUUGAUUGCUAAUUACAAAAAACCUUACAGCAUUUUAGUGUAAAAUACAUUGAACCGUAAGUUCUUCCUAGUCCAGUUACUUUACAUCACAGAAUUCCUUUCCUCUACAGUUGCUGAGAGUUUCUACUGGUCAAAUUAAAAUGUUUGGUUUAUUUUUGUCAUAGAUACUGUUUAACUCAAGUUCUUUUCAGUCUUGAACUCUCACUCCUUAUACAAUAAGAAAGUAAUUUAUGGUAGUGUCAUUCAGGAAUGACCAAUACAGACGAAGACGUGUGUGCUGGGAUCAGUUCCGCGAUCAGACAUCACGUUGUGCAGAAGUGGGAGGGAAAGCAGUUCAAGUAAAAAAGAAGUCAACGUGUGGCUAAAGGAAGACUUCCUUGUCCUUUGCUUUCCCGAGGGGAAUUCCAAGUUGGUGAGCAGCGGGUACAAAGCGUGUGCGUCUGCCAAUUCUGGAUCACUGUACACACCCUUCUGUUUGACUGCAAAACAUUCCCGAUUUCUGUAGUUAAUGAAUACACCAUUGCGUGACCGUUUACUGAUUAAGUCGUGCCAUGUUCCAAAGUUAAAGACACAUAUUGAUGUCUCGACAUGUUUAAAAACAGAUAUCCAAGCAUGAAUUGAUUUCUAUUUUAUAUUUUUGGAAAACUAAAAGUGAAUAGCCUUUGAGUGUGUAUAGGCCCUAUACUGCUUAUCGU